AAUAUCAAAUAGUUUUAUAAUAAAUAAAGUUAUUAUAUGUCAUAAAUUAUAAGAGGAAUUAAAUAAUUAAAAGGGUGAGAAAAACAAAGUUGGGUCUUUUCUUCUUCUCCAUUGCCGUGAGUAGAAAAGAGAAAGAAGGAAAAAAAAAAAAAGCUCAAGACACAUUUGGCCAUUAGCAUAGAUUGAUUCUAAGCUCAAGGACAAAAAGGGGGCACAAAUUUCGGAUAAGGGAAAGAGAAAGUAGCUGAAUAGUCGAUUCGUGAUAAUUUGAUAACAUCCGAGGUUGUGGAUUCUGACUACCAGCUCGGGGAUCGUCAGUACUUCGUCACACUAUCUACCAUUACGGCAGCCAUAAGAUUGGAUUAUCUUUUGGCAUGUAUAGGAUAGACAAUAAGUAGAAUGAUACUUUGACCUUCGUGUAGAAGUCAUGUGAUUACGGUAUCUUAUGGAACUUACUUGUAUAAGUGUUAAAUUCGAACUUUGUUUGCAUCUAGCAAUUUAGUAAAUGAAUGAUCUUUAUUCAAAAAAAAAUGUUCAAAA